rnacentral:snoRNA from 1 species
AAGCUCAUUCUAGAUUAGAAUGGGCACUAUUGAUUGGGGUCCAAAAUUGGUUAAUGGGGUUAAAAUUGAGACAGAGGUCCGGCUUCCAUCACAAUAAACAUUUACAGUUGUGAUAAAGAGACCUGUGACAUUU